rnacentral:lncRNA from 1 species
UUUAUUAAAAAUUUUGAAGAUAAUCUUUUGGGGAUAAUAGAGGCACUUCUUCUCAUGUUUGAAUAUUGCAAAAAUAUAUUUGUGGUAUCAAACAAGUUUCUAAGGCUAGAAGGUAAAUUCAUUUUGACUAUUCUCUAUUUUCACCAGCUACAAGGUAGAUUAUAUUUAUCAGAUAUGUUAGGAAUCUCAUUAUUGGAGUUCCAACUUAUAAGCAACUUAUUUGUAAUUGUCAUAUUGUUAUGUGGUAAUAACUAACCCGAUGUGAUAGUUAUAGAUAAAUUAUCGCACCAAUUAGCUCAUAAUUCACUCUCGAAUGAAAAAUGUUGC